CGGACGGGUGAGUAACGCGUGGAAAACCUGCCGUAUACUGGGGGAUAACACUUAGAAAUAGGUGCUAAUACCGCAUAAGCGCACAGCUUCGCAUGAAGCGGUGUGAAAAACUCUGGUGGUANACGAUGGUUCCGCGUCUGAUUAGCUAGUUGGUGGGGUAAUGGCCUACCAAGGCAACGAUCAGUAGCCGGCCUGAGAGGGUGAACGGCCACAUUGGGACUGAGACACGGCCCAAACUCCUACGGGAGGCAGCAG
rnacentral:rRNA from 1 species